GGGCGGGCCUCACCUGGCGGCGGCCCCACCUGGCGGCGGCCGCUCCCGCCCGCCCCGCACCCCGCGGAAGCCGGGAGCUCAGGCCCUGGCGUCACCCGGCCCGUCGGGAAAGCGGCGCCCGGAGCCGCGGGGAGGGGAGAUGAAAGGCGGGAGGCGGGUGCGGGCCCCGGCAGCGCCAGGUGAGGGUCGGGAGCCCCGCCCCGCGCCCGGGGACCAGUCCCCUGGUUUCCAGCAUACUUCCUGUGAAUGCGUAGGAGACGCUCUGAUGAACGAGAAUGGCUUUGGUAGUGAAACGUUCCGGCUAAAUCAGCGACAGGUGAUACAGGUAUUUCAGUGUGUAUUUCCAAAGAAUAGAGAUCGCCUCACAUAACCACAUUGCAGCAGCGACAUCAGAAAAUUUAACACGGAUGCAAGACUUGUAUCCACCUUCGCUGAUGCAGCUUUGUCCAACAAUGUCCUUCUUCGUGUGCCUCCAGGAUCCAGUCCAGUAUGAGGUAUCCCAUGUAGCUGUCCUGUCUCUUUAGCUUCCAAUUAUAACACUGACGUAUUUCACAUCCCCAUGAGGCAGAGAGAUUUGAAAUAUCCGUCUGUGUCUUUGAUUUUUUUUUUUUUUUUUAAGUAGGCUUCACGUCCAGCGUGGAGCCCAGUGCGGGGCUUGAAAUCACAACCCUGAGAUCAAGACCUGAGCUGAGAUCAAGAGUCAGACGCCUAACUGACUGAAUGCCCCAGGUGCACCUGUGUGUUUGAUUAUUUUUGAAAACCAAAUCGAUGCUCUAUGCUAGUUGCGGGGCCUCCCAGAGAUUACUUUGACGAUUCUUGCCCUGAGUAAGAUAAUAUCAGAACAAUGAAAGCUAACAUUUAUGGGGCAGACAUGGUGCGCUGAGCCCUUUACAUGCAUUAUCUCAUUAAACCUACAACAGUCCUGACAGCAGGAUGAUUCUUCUCAGUGACGGAGGAAACUGAGGCUUGGAAAUGUUUUGCCUAACAGCACACAGGUGGUAAAUGGAGUCAAGAUUUGAUCUCAGGCAGACUGGCUUUAGAAAGCACGCUUUCGUUGUGGGGCGCCUGGGUGGCUCAGUCUGGUAAGCAGUCUGACUCUUGAUCUUGGCUCAGACCGUGAUCUCACGGUCAUGAGAGCGAGCCCUGUGUCAGGCUCUGUGCUGAGAGUGGAGCCUGCUUGAGAUUCUCUCUCUCUUUCUCUCUCUCUCUCUCUCUCUCUCAAACAUAAACAUUUAAAAAGAGGGAGGGAUUGCUUCCAGGUAGGAAAAAGCCAAGAAAGCUUCCUGGAGGAGGUAGCUUGUGAUCUGGGGUUUAAAGCUUCAGAGAUGGGUAAAGCAUUUCCCAGGUAAGGGUACUAAUCCCAGGUAGAGGUACUAAUCCCAGGCAUUUGCAAAGGUGGGCGUUUGUAGGAAUGCACUGAGGGAAGUCUGUGGUGGAGCGGGGGGAGGGGGUGCUGUUGGCCUUAGCUCUUUUGUUUCAUUGACUUGGUCCCCAAAACGGGUGCCAUUUUUGGUACAGAGCCUGCCCAGCUCUACCGUGCCUGUCUUGAGGCCAUGGAUAAUUUCUCCGGAAAGCCGCUUACACAAAAAUAUGUUGAGUGUCUACUGUGUGCCAGCUUGCCUAGGUGCUGGGGUUACAGCGGUGAGCGAAACACAACACAAGCUGUGGCUUCGCGGACCUGGUGUUCAGCAAACUGAUCUGUAAUUUACACAUAAAGAGCAUUUUGAUGUUUGAAGGCCUCUCCGUCUGGACUACAGUUGUCCAGAUAAAGGGGGAAAACCCUUCACACCAGCGUACAGGGGACCUGUCAUUGAAUCCAGGGCAACUCAGCCCCUCCCUGAGCCUCAGUUUCCUCAUUUGUCAAGCGCAGGGGCUCAGCGAGACCUGUAAGACCUUGCCGGCCCUGAAAUUCUUAGCUUCUACAAAUCAGAAGAGCAGACGCACCUCGGGAACCACAGGCGUCUGUGUCUGGGCAAACCUGGACAUUUACUGCUUUUGUUCCUGUUUUCACCAGGGGCUCGGGGCCCUCCUGACAGUUCACCCCUCAAAGGUAAUCAGAAUUCUCUUUCUGUCCGCCUUGGUUUUCUGCUCUUUGACAUGCAUCAUAAAUUAUUCUUUCUCUAAAUGGCAGGCGUAGGUAAGUUACCAAAAGGUCACUCAGAACCCCAAUCAAUCCCAGCUGCUUUAAUUACUUUAGUGCUGUUCAGACUUUGUGUGUGUGUGUGUGUGUGUGUGUGUGUGUGUUAGCCACCCAGAGGAGAGGCUCAAGAACGAUUUUCUGCAAAAGGCGCUGGAAUUUUCUUUAAGGAACAAAGUUAAUUAUGCUGGCUUUUGUCCAUGUUCGGAGAAUCCUCAUCAUAAUAGACCUCAGUGUAUGUAUAAACAACAGAGAGCCUAUUUGCUGAGGCCUCCCUUGUCUUUGAUGGGCUGAUGGCAAAUCCUGGAGAUGAAUUACAGGAUGAACCCGGUGCAAGAAUAAGAUUAAAACCAGGUAAAAAUAAUCUAUGUAUUAAAAUGGGUCCUCCCCACCUUUUCUCCCCGCUAUCCCAGGGCUUUGCCUCAAAGCUCCCACAGGGGUCCUCGAUGUUGUGUUUCAUCUUUAGUUAAGAAUUUAGAGGCGGGGUGUCUGGGUGGCUCAGCCGGUUAAGCGUCCGACUUCAGCUCAGGUCACGAUCUCAUGGUUCUUGAGUUCGAGCCCCACAUCGGGCUCUGUGCUGACGGCUCAGAGCCUGGAGCCUGCUUCGGAUUCUGUGUCUCCCUCUCUCUCUGCCCCUCCCCUGCUUGCACUCUGUCUCUGUCUCUCUCAAAAAUAAACAAACAUUAAAAGAAAAAGAAAAACAAAAGCAUUUAGAGGCAAUGCUAAGGGUGACAAACAGAAUUCUGCUCUGGUCUCUGGUUGCCUCUAAGUGGGUCUGCGGGUGCAAGAAAUACAUUGUUUCAGUCAGUGUUUUGGGCAAAGUCUCAAAUCUUUAAGGCUUUGGAAAAGGCGUGGGGUGCUGCUUUCUUGCUUGUGAUGGGCUCCGUAAUAAUAAUGUGUCUAUAUUAAUAUAUAGAAUAAAUCAUAUAAUAAUAAAUGGUAAUAAUAACACAGUAAUUUACAACCAUGCUAUAAGAAAAACAGUAACUCAGGCUAACUUUUGAGUACGUUUACAUGCAUUAUACCUUGCAUUUCUUGUCUAAUCCUGUUCUCACAACUGUUAUUCCGACUUGACAUAUUAGAAACUCAGGCACG